rnacentral:rRNA from 1 species
AGUCGCCACGGGAAUACGAAGGGGGCUAGCGUUGCUCGGAAUUACUGGGCGUAAAGGGAGCGUAGGCGAAUCGUUUAGUCAGGGGUGAAAUCCCGGGGCUCAACCUCGGAACUGCCUUUGAUACUGGCGAUCUUGAGUAUGGGAGAGGUGUGUGGAACUCCGAGUGUAGAGGUGAAAUUCGUAGAUAUUCGGAAGAACACCAGUGGCGAAGGCGACACACUGGCCCAUUACUGACGCUGAGGCUCGAAAGCGUGGGGAGCAAACAGGAUUAGAUACCCCGGUAGUCCCUGUCUCUUAUACA